GCUCCGUUGCCGUGGUUGCAGGCCCGGCCCGCUCGCUUGCUCGCUGACAGCGAGGCUUGGGGCGGAGGGAAGUGGGUCCGUUGGCCCGAUCGGUAACGAGG
rnacentral:pre_miRNA from 1 species